UACGAAGGGGGCUAGCGUUGCUCGGAUUGACUGGGCGUAAAGGGCGCGUAGGCGGUUUGUACAGUCAGACGUGAAAUUCCUGGGCUCAACCUGGGGGCUGCGUUUGAUACGUGCGAGCUUGAGUUCGGAAGAGGGUCGUGGAAAUUCCCAGUGUAGAGGUGAAAUUCGUAGAUAUUGGGAAAGAACACCGGUGGCGAAGGCGGCGACCUGGUCCGAUACUGACGCUGAGGCGCGAAAGCGUGGGGAGCAAACAGG
rnacentral:rRNA from 1 species